AUUGAACGCUUGCGGCAUGCCUUACACAUGCAAGUCGAACGGUAACAGGCCUUAGGGUGCAGACGAAUGGCGAACGGGUGAGCAAUGCAACGGAACGUACCAUUCAGUGGGGGCAAAAGUAGCGACAGUUACGCUAAUACCGCAUAUUCUGUGAGCAGGAAAGCAGGGGAUCCGAAGAGCUUGCGUUCUUUUAGCGGCCGAUGUAGGAUUAACUAGUUGGUGGGGUAAAGGCCCACCAAGGCUCCGAUCCGUAGCGUGUCUGAGAGGAUGAUCCGCCACACUGGGACUGAGACACGGCCCAUACUCCUACGGGUGGCAGCAGUGGGGAAUUUUGGUCAAUGGUGACAACCCUGAUCCAGCCAUGCCGCGUGAGUUAAGAAGGCCUUCGGGUUGUAAAGCUCUUUCGGCCGGGAAGAAAUCGUGUGGGCUAAUACCCGGCAUGGAUGACGGUACCGGAAUAAGAAGCACCGGCUAACUACGUGCCAGCAGCCGCCGUAA
rnacentral:rRNA from 1 species